rnacentral:sRNA from 1 species
AAGUUUACCUUGAAAUAUGAUUACAAU